UGUUAUUCCAUGGUGGUGGAAAU
rnacentral:siRNA from 1 species